AGUAGUGUCGGGAAAUGGUGAUUCCGUCUUCCUUUGGAAGGAAGGGCAUGCUGGUUCGAGUCCAGUCUACUCUA
rnacentral:tRNA from 1 species